AAAAAAAAGUUAAAAAAAAAAUUGUAUCAGAAAUCCUAUAAAAUAAGGGAAAAAGAUUUCUGGCCCUAACUUCAGGAGGAACCAAUUUUAUAUUUCCCUUUUUUCUUUCAAAAAAAAAAAGGGCCUUAUCCUGCUAUGUUUUGCUUGAAACCACAGAAGAUACCUGCUGCAGUACUUGGGAAUACGAGAGAAAUGGAAAUUUAAACAAUAAAAUAGACAUACAGAUUUCAUUGAAGAAACAUCACCACCGC
rnacentral:misc_RNA from 1 species